rnacentral:rRNA from 1 species
GAUGAACGCUGGCGGCGUGCCUAAUACAUGCAAGUCGAGCGAACAGACGAGGAGCUUGCUCCUCUGACGUUAGCGGCGGACGGGUGAGUAACACGUGGAUAACCUACCUAUAAGACUGGGAUAACUUCGGGAAACCGGAGCUAAGACCGGAUAAUAUAUUGAACCGCAUGGUUCAAUAGUGAAUGACGGUUUUGCUGUCACUUAUAGAUGGAUCCGCGCCGCAUUAGCUAGUUGGUAAGGUAACGGCUUACCAAGGCGACGAUGCGUAGCCGACCGGAGAGGGUGAUCGGCCACACUCGAACUGCGACACGGUCCAGACUCCUACGGGAGGCAGCAGUAGGGAAUCUUCCGCAAUGGGCGAAAGCCUGACGGAGCAACGCCGCGUGAGUGAUGAAGGUCUUCGGAUCGUAAAACUCUGUUAUUAGGGAAGAACAAAUGUGUAAGUAACUAUGCACGUCUUGACGGUACCUAAUCAGAAAGCCACGGCUAACUACGUG